rnacentral:rRNA from 1 species
UACGUAGGGGGCAAGCGUUGUCCGGAUUUAUUGGGCGUAAAGAGCGUGUAGGCGGCCAGGUAGGUCCGUUGUGAAAACUCGAGGCUUAACCUCGAGACGUCGAUGGAAACCAUCUAGCUAGAGUCCGGAAGAGGAGAGUGGAAUUCCUGGUGUAGCGGUGAAAUGCGCAGAUAUCAGGAAGAACACCCGUGGCGAAGGCGGCUCUCUGGUACGUGACUGACGCUGAGACGCGAAAGCGUGGGGAGCGAACAGG